ensembl:lncRNA
UUUUUCUUCCAUUUCUACCUUUUCUCCUUUUUUUUUUCUUUUUUUUUUCCUCCUUUGUCCCUUUUCCCUAUUUUCUGAGAAUUUAGCUGCCAAACCUUAACAAGUCUCAAUAGAGCACAUGUGAAGAGGUUUUUCAAAAUGUUCACAUUGGCUAAUACCAGCCAACUUCUCCAGUGGAAAAGAAGGCAAAAAGAUAAUUCCUUAAAAGAGAAAAAAGCAUACUAUGCUUCAGGAUGCCAUUUCAGAGCUACAGAGGCCCAAUACUUCCCCGACCAACUCAUUGAGUGGUUGAGGGUUUUUUGCUUUUUACUCAAAAAAAUAUCUUUUCUCUUAAAAGUGGUUUUUAAAAGUGGCUUAACUAUUCUGUCUUGAAAGUUUUUUCCAGAAAUAUUCCACCCAAGGCAGAUAGCCAUUAUGGAAAAUUUCAUGCAGACAUAUUUCAUUAGAAAUAUAUUUGUGGACCCACAAAAUCUAAACAUUACACUCAAACGAUCAUCCUGCUUCUGCUCUACCUCCCUCCAAAAUACUUUAGUUUCUUAAUCAAAACAGAUUUCAUUUUUCCUUCAGACAAGUGUAAUUUCUAUAUUUUGUCACAACUGGGCAAGAUGUUUUUUUCCCCCUUGAAAACUCAGUUACUGGCAAAUGGAAAUUUGGCUCACUGUAAAGCACUUGAGAUAACUCAAAUAAAACCAUGUGUAUCCAUCACACUUCUGAUACUCAAGAGUAUCAACUAACUCUGAGAGAGAUGCAAUUCAGGAACCCCUCCAGCAAGCCUACACACAAUGGUUUGGAAACAUUCCCAGAUUUUUUUGCUGCAGCUUAGUUUGGCUGACAUGCACUUUGGAAAAAAAAAAAAAAAGUGCACUUGUUCUUGCGUAGGUAGGCCUACAUGUUAAAUUUUACCAUUUGAAAAGUCAGUAAGAUUAAAUAUGUGAACAAAUAUUUGAAGAGGUGAAGCCUAAACUAUCUUCUGAUGGAAGUACAGGAGAAUAUUUAUGAUCUUGUUGACAUCUCUUUCUCUCCAGAUACUACAAAGGCUAUGUGGACUCUGUAGAGACUUACAUAUUAAUUAUCAACUACAGCCUCUGUGUUUUCAUUUCUUUUCUCCUUUCGUCCUUUUUCUAGCUGAUGACUGUUAGCUUUACUUUGCUCUCAUUUUAGGAGUGCCUGCAUCUCAAAGAAUGCUGCUUAGAUUUUCUUGCAGCAGAGAGAGUCUUCCAGUCAGACCCAUUUCUUCUGGAAGAAAGCCCAAAGAUUCACAGAAACUUACCACAUCUAAGUGGAUCUGAGCAAUUGAAAUACCCUUGAGGAGUUCUCCUGAGCUAGGCUGCUCAAGAGAGCUUACAGCUCAAAAGCAAUUACCAGAUAUUUCCAGAAGAAACAUUGACCUGGUGCACAAAGGUACACUACCACAUCAGUGAGAGAACGUUUUUAGGCUGAUUUGAAAAUAAAAAAUAAGAAAGAAGAAACGUCCUGUUUUGGUGGUGGUGGUAGUUUUUUGGUGGUGGUGAUUUUUUAACUGGAUUCCAAUAAUUAUGUUUUCCUCACUUCUUCUUUGGAAAUGAAACACCUAAAUGCAUUGUUUUUGAAGAAGAUUAUCAAAUGCUUUGUGGACUCCAGCAGAUAAGACACUGUAACACAGUCGGUCGUAGAUUUGCUGGCAUAAGUAGGCUAAAUUUCCACAGAGGCUGCACUGGAAGAAACUCUUUGAAGUCAGUCCUACAGUAGAUUUUGAAUCUUCCUCCCAAGAGAAAGAAAUCAAAUGCCCUGCAUCUCUGACAGACUCUGGACAGGAGAGAAAACUCAUAUUGAACUUAGAGAAUAGGGCAUAAUCCACUGAAGCAAAUACAUGCUAUCAUAGGAAACUAAAUUUAUUUAAGGUAUUUAUAUUAACAAAUAAAUAAAUUAAAGUAGAAUUAGCAUCAAAAGCACAUGGAGGAUCAAACAGUGUACUGUGUUUAUAAUCAAUUUAUUAAUAUAAACAGCUUCAGAUGUUCAAAGAAGUGAUGCAGUAUUAGAACCUGCAGUGGAAUGGAGGCUGGAAUGAGCCCAGGCUGCAGCUCACACAGUGGAGAAGGUUUCACUAAGGCCAUGUAUGGAGACCAUUGCCACAUUGGCUUGGAAAGAGAGUAGAACCCAUUCCUUGUGUUGUUUCAGCAACCCCAGAUGUGAAAAGAGUCACCACAUCAAUAGAGAAAACAAUGAAAGGUUGAGAGGACUGUUAAAAACUGAAAUGGCCAGAGACUAGCAAAGAUGAGCAAUGUAAACAAACCCAGAAAACCAUUCAGUCAGACUGUUAGAGUGAGGAGAAUGAUGAAUACUAGUGUGCCUUUGCAAAAUGUGAGGCAAAUACAGAAUUGCACAGAAAUUAACUCUUUCCCCAUUGAUGUUCCUGUUCUGAACAUCUUGUCCAAUUCCGAAAUAAAACCUGAAGCACUUGCAGAGAUCUUUGGCUUUAGCUGUCAUUGUGACCAUUCACCUUCUUGCUCAGUAAAGGUCUUAAAGCUUCAGGUUUGAAUAACUGAAACAUAACAACCUAAAAUCAGUAAAAGCACUAGAUGAUCUGAAAGGUCCCUUCCAACCCAAACUAUUCUAUGAAAAGAACUGAAAUUUGGUAUGAAUAACAGGUCUCAUGGGAGGUUACUUAAUCUAUGGCAUUUCAUAUCCAUUCCUCUCUCUCUCUUAUCUACCAAGAAGCUCAAAAAAAGAAAACACAUUUUUGGAAAGUAUUAGUAGGAAGAAAGUCCCACAUUAGAGACAAUAAUAAAGAAAAUUGCAGGAAAGCUGGCUCCCCAUUAAGGAUAUGGCAACAACCAAUCAAUCAGCAGUAAAAUGUAAACAGGCAGAAAGCUCAAUAACAGAGAAAUUACAGAAGUUUGUAAAUCACUCAAAUCAAGAAAGAAGCCACUUGAUUAGCAGAUCUAAGGAGGACCAAACUACAUCUGGUAGAUAAAUUCAAAGAAUUAUUGAGCUGAGAACCACAACACCUUGGAACGAUUUAUGCUCAGGAAAUACUGAGUGCAUGCAUACAGUCCCACUGAGCUCAUGGCAUUGCAGGGCUGAGACCUGAAUUUGGAUUUGAAUUUCACACUCAAGUUCUUGCAAAUAUAAGUUCAUACAUAUUGGCAGAAAGAGCAAGCUAGUUUCAUAUGUCCCGAUUCUAAUGCUCAUCCUGUACUUAUAGCAGACACAUCUAGACACACAAAAAUUCUUGCCUGCAGUGACUAUCAAAAAUUAAAAUACUUUUUUUUUCUGAACUGUGAGAGAAAGAGUCUAUUGCAGUUCACUUGAUUUUUUGGGGGAGAACAGUACAGGUUAAUAUUUUGCCUGAUCCACUGCAAAGAACUAAUAGAUGUAAAAACUGUGCAGCUGCCCCUGUUAAUCUGAGAACAAAUCACAAAGGAAGGUGUAAACAAAAGGCAGGUGAGUUCUCAAAUGAACAAUUAGGAGGAGGACAAACAGGGAAAAAAAAAAAAAAAAAAAAAAAAAA